rnacentral:tRNA from 1 species
GGCAAUAGCUCAGCAGUAGAGCGUGUGCUUAGCACGCAUGAGGUCCUGGGUUCCAUUCCCAGUCCCGCCA